AGUCUAGACCACUGAUGGGCUGAAUUCCUAUGAGUGGGGAUGAGACCCUCAAUCUCCCUGUGCCACUCGGGGGCUCUUCGCCUUGUGCCUUGCCUUGAGAAUGCGAGCUUCUCCAGAGAAGCUGUGGCUUCCCGUGUCUCAGCACCCAGUGCGCUUCCCAGCGCCCAGCACGCUGAUUUGAAACUCUCUCAAUAAGUGUGCCAAUGAAGUUUUGUUGAUAAAUAAUUAAGAAAUAAAUGAGAAUAGUCUCUCUGGUGCACGAGCCUUCCUAUUCGCUCUCAGUGAAUUCUUGGUUUGAAAAUGCAGUGGUGUGGUAGACCAGAAACAAGGUCAGAACUCCAGUACAGAAUAGACAGGUGAGUACUUUAAAGUGCAAAAAAAUUACAGUGGAAUAAUUAUGAUAUUAUUUAACCUGCAUGAAUCAGUUUCUUCCCCUCCUCCUUUCGCUCCUCCUUUUCUUCCUUUCUUCUUCUUUCAUCUUAUUACAGUUUUACAGCUUCUUCCUCUAAACAGAUUGUAUUCAAUCUUUCAGGAACUCAGAUUUAUUCAAAAAAUAGUUAGUGGGGCUCUGUGCAGCGGCUCAUGCCUGUAAUCUCAGUACUUUGGGAGGCCAAGGCAAGGAGGAUCGCUUGAGCCCGGGAGUUUGAGACCAGCCCUGGUAAGGUAGCAAGACCCCGCCUCUACCAAAAGUACAAAAAUUAGCCAGACAUGGUAUUGCAUUCCUGCGGUCCCAGCUACUCCGGAGGCUGAGGUGGAAGGAUCACUUGAGCUCAGGAGGUCAAGGCUGUAAUGAACCAAGAUCGUACCACUGCUCUUCUGCCUGG
rnacentral:lncRNA from 1 species